CAUACCACCGGCUGACAUGCCGGUCAAGCUCCGACCAAAGAAAGGCGAAAUGCCUACGCGACCGACGUCGCGACUCCCGACCGAGCUACGGCCGGUCGAGGGAUAUUCGGCUUACCACCGUCUAUCGCACAAUACGACCUCAGUCGUAUUUAUGAUUCACCGACCAGGCUACGGCCGGUCGGAAGAUAUCCGGCUUACCACCGC
rnacentral:lncRNA from 1 species